rnacentral:lncRNA from 1 species
GCCGCAGCACACUCUCUAAUCGAGCUGUAACACUCGCCACUGCCGUCCACGGCUUCAUUCCUUGAAGCCGUGAGACCACGAACCCUUCGAUUGAGAAGAACCUUCGGUCGGAAGAAGACUUCUCGUCUCAGUAACAAUAACAAGAAAAACAGCCUAGACUAGACGCACAUCAGGAAGACAGGUACCCAGCAUAACCCCAUUGAAGAGCUGUUCCCUGGGACCUGGAGAGGAACACAGCAGGCUGCCAUGCCCACUGCACCUGCAGUGUCGGCCACAGCCGCAGAAUAAACAUGUGGAGAAGGUCAUUGAUCACCUUGACUGAAGCACUGCAGACAAGAUAAAGACAGCCUGAUGCAGAGGAAGAUUGAGGACUAAGGGGCUUCAUCCACAGAUGGCAUUUUCCAGACAGGGUGGCUCUCUCUGUUAGCGGGCAGGACCUUCUGUUACUUGGAUCAUUCUAUAACAACAUUUAGAAGCAGUGGAAUAAAAUUGCAAAAUGAAACCAAGUCCAUUUAUUCAGCGGAAUCGAAUUGCAAGAUGAAACCACGUCUGGGAAGCAUAUUUUUUUACAGAAGAAUCUGCAGUUUAGUUUUGUUUAUUGCAACACAGGUGCAAAGGGUCAACCUCACCUCAUUUAUCUUUCAGGGCAUGUUAUUAUUAUUGGUCUGUGAAAGAAUCCUUUUUUGUUCACUCAUUAUGUUGAACUAUGUAAAAUUACCACUUUUGUAAGAUAAAAAAGCAAUCAAAUAUUAAUGAUUUCAAGUG